GCACACACUCACACACACGCACACACAUAUAUAAUACACACACACACAUAUAAUUGCCCUGUUUGUUGCAAGUAUUUCCCAGUCUCCUUUGUCCUCUAAUUUUAUGGCAGUUUGACAUAAAUAAAAGUAUGUUUUACAAUGACUAUGUCCGUUGAUCUUUUCCUUUGUAAUUUUACUCUCCUGUUAUUUUUUCCUUUAAAAGUCAUUUCUCAGUCUAAGCUCAGUUAAAUACCUACCUGUAUUUUCUUUUAAUUUUUAGGAUUGCUCGAUUGCUUAAUAUUUUACUCUGAUCCAGACAUUGCUAACUUUGAGUCUUUAGUUGUGCUUCAGAGAAUUGGGGGUCCCUCAGAACUCCGUAUGUAACUGUGCAGGUACUAUACACAGCACUUCCUGUGUAAGAGAACACAUCAAAGAGGUCUGUCACACACCUCUCUCCCCUUCUGCAUUCCCAGCACCUGGCCAGGAAUUACCUUUGCAAUCCAUCCGGCCUUUAUUUGCAAUGAGGCUGUAUGGAGAGGCUCUAAUUUUUUUUCCCCUUUUCCCUAAAUAGUUGAAGGAGUAUGGUGUACCAGACCAUUCAGUGAGUAAUUAUGUCCUAUGGUCUGUGAUGCCUUGGAGAAUUUCAUUUCUUUUCAUUUUACUAAUUUAUUAUUUUUUUUAAUCUCUUCAGAGAAAGUUAGAGAAAUUCAAGAAAAACUUGAUGCUUUUAUUGAAGCUCUGCAUCAGGAGAAAUAGUGUUACUAGGUUUAUUUUUUACAGACACCUACUCAUAAUAUGAUCGCCUCUACAUACACAAGAAGAAAGAAUACUUCAGAGUCUCUUGUCCUGCCUCUUUUUCUUCUCCUAUUCCACCUUUCUAAACAUACAAUAAAGUCAUGGAAUAAAAUGAAUUUGUACGUGUUGUAGGCCCUUUAACCAUCAGCUGCCUUUUGACUGGAAGAACGGUGGAAAUGGCAUUAACACCCUGUUUCAUUGUCUUGAAGUGACACAUUGGGAUAACACCGCUAGUAUGCCGUCAGCCGCAGCCCUGGAAGAUAAGAAACCUGCUCUCUGUUGUCUCAUUUGUGGUUUCAGUAGUUUAAUUCAUUCACUGAUAUUAUUCAGUGUCGGUUUCUUUUCUAGAAGUAUAAUGCCAAGUGUUUUGAACUAAGACUUAUAGCAAUUUUUAAAAACUUAUCAACUGUAUAUAAAAUGAUAGCCCACUAAGUCAUCCUCUUUAUCAUGUUCUGUAUCCAGUAACUAUUCAUUGUGAUCGUUUAGUUUAUGUUUGCCAUAUGAAAUAAAACAGAAAACUCCUUCAAAUGGGUUAAUUUGGAUUAUAACAGUCGAGUGCAAUUCAGUGGAAGAAAUUUCAACCCUUCAUUGACAGCUUAGAAAUCCGCCUUGGAAGCCAAGUGAGCAGUACUUCACCUGCCUGCCCGAGCUGCCACGCCAUCCUCUGUGCACUCGUCAAAAUCAGUACACUUGGGGUGCUGUACAGUGAUGGUAGGCUUCCUGUUGACACUGGGUAUUUUUUCCUGUUGGCAAAGCCACUGUAUUAUGACACGGGAUGGAAAAAAUUAGGAAGUCAGUUGACCGACUUCAUUUAAAAUAUUAAGUAUUUCAACGAGGAACCAAGAAAAGGCUUUCUUCUGUUAAAAAACUCUUUCAAAUAGAAGUUAUUCCAGCAGUUGAAAUAAUAACCAACCCCCUCUUAGCUAAAUAUUUAAAAUUUAGAGUUUGAUCCAUUGCAGUUAGUAACCCACUUAUAUUUUCAUGUUUUAUAUAAACAUUUUUUACCGGCUGAAAGACUUAAAAACAAAAAGUAUAACAUUUUUUACUUAAAAUAUCUUGUUCAUUUACUACUUUUUCAUUAAGGCUUUAUUAUACUAAUAAAAAUGCCCAUUGUGUGACCAUUUUUAAUUUACUCUUUACUGAAGACAUUAUCUUGGGCUUUUUGUUUUAUUUUGGUUAACAAAUUCCUUGCCAACACCCAAUUUUUUUUUGAUCAGUACAUUCUUCAUUGUGAUCCCUCAAAAUCUGACAUCUAAUAUGUGAGGUUGGAGAGUACCACAGAAUAUUUCAGAAGCCAGGAAGCCAGCAGGUGUUUGUCUUAUACUGCUUGGUAAGGAGCGGAGAUCAGUUUUAAGCGGCUAGUAGCGUAUGUGCUGUUAUCUGGUAGACGGGCAGUCUAGAACCUUGAGUUUCUUUUAGGGCUGGGGGCAGGUGAGCAGAGAGGGGGCAGGUGAGCAGAGAGGGGGGAGAGUGCGCAGAGGGAAUAGAGCUUCGUAGUGCUCCAUACGGAGUCUGGAGAGACCCUCAGAUUCCGCCCUCAGCCAGUGCGGGUGGGUAGUUACAAACCCCCUCACUGAGCAGACAUCCUGUAAUGUUAAUGAAUAUUUUUGCAAAGAAAGAACAGGAAGUAGAACCUUACUUAUUUUUAUGAACUAUAGAUGAAAAAAAAAAAUACCAUGAUCUGUAUUUCGACAGAUUUCUCCCAAGCAAAAGGCAGAUAUUUAGUCAGUACUUUUAUCUCUUCCUUUUGUAUAAAUCUUAAGUUUCUUUGAGAUCAGUAUUGUGACAUACAAAUAGAUGAUGAAAGUGAAUAUUAUUAAAAGUCCCACGUCAGAGUUCUGACAUCCUCCCCAUUCGCUUCUUUUAUGGAUUUUGUUUCUCUUUUAGCCGAUCUUAUCCUAAGCAUGCUUUUAUUUUCUUAAAAGGUAGAUCUUUAUAAAAUACAGAUGUAACUGAAAGAGAAAAAUAAAAUUCAGAGUCUCAACAGUAAACUCUGUUGUAUCUGUAGUUCAGAAAUUAGAAAUGAUUCAAAUUUAAACUAAAAAAAAAAAACCUUACAAUAUUCAAUAUACAUAUAGGAGUUAAAUUUUAAUUAGACAAAGAAUCUUUGUUUCUCAUGUCAGAAUUUGCAAAGAAUGGAGUGAACAAAGCUUUAUAUGGGAUUCCAAAUAAUUGUAAAUAGAUUGUAUCCAAAAUUACUUUGAUCGGGAUAUCCACUUUUAAAAAACAGUGAACACGGGCAACGCACAGUAGGACAGAAGUGGUUUUCACUGUUUCGCAGUUGACCCAACCUCACCGUACUUACAGGUGGGGCGGUCAGACUUUCUAGUGUUAAUUUUCUUCUCUCUCCUUUGUGUCACCCUCAUUAAUUUUCUUCUCUCUCCUUUGUGUCACCCUCAUUUUCCAGGCUUCAUUCUGAGGGAUUCCUUCCCACACACAGAUUAUUUAGCCCCUACAUGUAAAUAAAUGCUGUACAAAUGAGUAGGAAACAUUGCAGAGACGGGUGCAUCCUAACCUUGUAAUUUGGGAAUUUUAUAUAUAUGAGAUUCACAGUGUAGGUUUAAAAGAGAAGUUCGUUGACUACUUAAAAUUUUUUUAAUUUAUUUAUUUUAGACGUGUUUGAGAAAAAGAAGUAUGAUAUUUUCACUUUCCAAUACAGGGGAUCAAAGUAAUGGUAUUUAUCUGUGCUCUACGCUGGUGUGCCUGCCAGUUCUAGGUACUUGAGCAGUAUGGAAAUGUGCUUACUACGCUUACCUCCGAAUGAUCAUGGCUAUGUGUUGUUUAAAUAUUUAAAACUUACUUGGUUUUCACGUGUGCACUAUGAAUGAACUUUGUAUUAUUUUUUAAAGAACCUUCACAUGACAUGUAGACAUUAUUGCAACUUAUAUUUUGCCUGUGCUUAACCUGAAGUCAUUUGUGUAGGUGGAUAAUUAAAAGAUAUUUAAAUCUCA